rnacentral:rRNA from 1 species
GGGCGCAGCCUGAUGCAGCGACGCCGCGUGAGGGAUGACGGCCUUCGGGUUGUAAACCUCUUUCAGUAGGGAAGAAGGGUAAGUGACGGUACCUGUUGGAGAAGCGCCGGAUAACUACGUGCCAGCAGCCGCGGUAAUACGUAGGGCGCAAGCGUUAUCCGGAAUUAUUGGGCGUAAAGAGCUCGUAGGCGGUUUGUCGCGUCUGCCGUGAAAGUCCGGGGCUCAACUCCGGAUCUGCGGUGGGUACGGGCAGACUAGAGUGAUGUAGGGGAGACUGGAAUUCCUGUUGUAGCGGUGAAAUGCGCAGAUAUCAGGAGGAACACCGAUGGCGAAGGCAGGUCUCUGGGCAUUAACUGACGCUGAGGAGCGAAAGCAUGGGGAGCGAACAGGAUUAGAUACCCUGGUAGUCCAUGCCGUAAACGUUGGGCACUAGGUGUGGGGGACAUUCCACGUUUUCUGCGCCGUAGCUAACGCAUUAAGUGCCCCGCCUGGGGAGUACGGCCGCAAGGCUAAAACUCAAAGGAA